GACGAACGCUGGCGGCGUGCUUAACACAUGCAAGUCGAACGGAAAGGCCCUGCUUGCCGGGUACUCGAGUGGCGAACGGGUGAGUAACACGUGGGUGAUCUGCCCUGCACUUCGGGAUAAGCCUGGGAAACUGGGUCUAAUACCGGAUAGGAGCCAUUUUUAGUGUGAUGGUUGGAAAGUUUUUUCGGUGUAGGAUGAGCUCGCGGCCUAUCAGCUUGUUGGUGGGGUAAUGGCCUACCAAGGCGGCGACGGGUAGCCGGCCUGAGAGGGUGGACGGCCACAUUGGGACUGAGAUACGGCCCAGACGCCUACGGGAGGCAGCAGGGGGGAAUAUUGCACAAUGGGCGCAAGCCUGAUGCAGCGACGCCGCGUGGGGGAUGACGGCCUUCGGGUUGUAAACUCCUUUCGCUAGGGACGAAGCUUUUUGUGACGGUACCUAGAUAAGAAGCACCGGCUAACUACGUG
rnacentral:rRNA from 1 species